rnacentral:rRNA from 1 species
UACGAAGGGGGCUAGCGUUGCUCGGAAUCACUGGGCGUAAAGGGUGCGUAGGCGGGUCUUUAAGUCAGGGGUGAAAUCCUGGAGCUCAACUCCAGAACUGCCUUUGAUACUGAAGAUCUUGAGUUCGGGAGAGGUGAGUGGAACUGCGAGUGUAGAGGUGAAAUUCGUAGAUAUUCGCAAGAACACCAGUGGCUAAGGCGGCUCACUGGCCCGAUACUGACGCUGAGGCACGAAAGCGUGGGGAGCAAACAGG